rnacentral:misc_RNA from 1 species
GAGCGAGGGGAAUGGAUCCGAUCGGGGCAUCGGGCAGUGGCUGUGAAUGCGGAAGCAAUGGGGCUGAAACUUCAGAGCUGAGCGUUUCCUUCUCGCUUCUCCAAACUCUGAAACAUUAUUCAAACUCCUCUCCUCAUUUCCCUCCCAAACCCCAUCUUCAUCUUUAUAUGCUUCAUUUCUGUUCUCCUUUCCUUUCCAUUUCCAGUUACUUCCCCUACCAGUACCAGGUUUAACUGAAUUGCUCACCUGAUGCAAAGUAUACGUCUAGAAAUCUUGCUUUGUUAAUUUUCUCGAGUUAGAUGAGGACAGUUCCUAUGUGCCUUUCAAUUUGGCAAGUUCCCAGAUGCAGAAUCCACACCUUAGCUAAAUUUUGGCAGGAAAGCUUUCACAGCUUACAUAGGUCAUGUAGAAACAAUUCAAGCUUUAGGUUGCUUUGUUCCAAAGCCAAUGGGCCUGAAGGAGGAUACAACAGAAGAUGGAUUAGAAGACCUGUAAGUACAAAAACAGAAGGAACAAAUAAAAUCACUCAAAAUAGCAGUAAAUCAACAAGUAUUGGACAUGAAGUUUUGGAUGAAACAGUUUCAACUAGUGUUGCAGUGAAUGUAAAGAAAAAUGAAAUAAGUGAACUUCCAAAAACUCAGUGCUCUGAUAGCCAACAAAAGUUUCCUGAGAAUGUUGAUUUGGCCAAUCUUUUGACAGUUAUUGUCUUUGAUCUUGAGACUACUGGCUUUAGCAGAGAGAACGAGCGAAUUAUUGAGAUUGCACUACAAGAUCUUGAGGGAGGUGAAAACAGCACUUUUCAGACGCUAGUAAAUCCUGAACGCUAUGUUCCUAAUUCAAAUAUUCAUGGCAUUACAACCCAUAUGGUCUGCAGACCUGGUAUUCCAAGGAUGGAAGAGCUGAUACCCAUAUUACUGCAGUAUAUCGAAAGCCGUCAAAAACCAGGCGGCUAUGUACUGUUGGUGGCUCACAAUGCUCGUAUUUUUGAUGUACCGUUUUUGACUAAUGAAUUUAGUCGAUGUGGUGCAGAUAUUCCUUCUAACUGGCUAUUUGUGGACACUGUUCCUUUAGCACGGCAAUGGAUGAAAUCCGAAGGAUUAAAACUUUCUUCAAGAGUAUCACUGGAAGUUCUUCGUGAGACAUUUGGAAUUAAGUUAAGUGGAUCAGCUCACAGAGCAAUGUCGGAUGUGAAAACAUUAUCAUUGGUUUUUCAGAGGCUUGCAUUCGACCUGAAACUGACACUUCGCAGCUUAGUCGAGAAGUCCUUCAAAUCCUCAGAUUUGACCAGUGUGAAGAAGAAAAAGAACGAUUCAAGCUAAAGUCAUAAUGUGUUCAUUGUAACUUAUUUAACUCAUUCUUGCCAAUUCAACCUCAAGCCAUUAUUUUCGGUCAUGGAACACAGGAAAAAAAAAAUGUAAAGAAGUUUUAACUUGGUUCUUAUCAAAGUAAAUUCAAGCCAUUAUUUUCA